rnacentral:rRNA from 1 species
GGCCCAAGCCCUACGGGGUGCAGCAGGCGCGAAAACUCCGCAAUGCGGGAAACCGUGACGGGGCCACCCCGAGUGCCGCCCGAAGAGGGCGGCUUUUGCCCGGUGCAAAAAGCCGGGCGAAUAAGCGGGGGGCAAGUCUGGUGUCAGCCGCCGCGGUAAUACCAGCUCCGCGAGUGGUCGGGGUGCUUACUGGGCCUAAAGCGCCCGUAGCCGGCCCGGUAAGUCGUCCCUGAAAUCCACGGGCUCAACCCGUGGGCUGGGGACGAUACUGCCGGGCUUGGGGGCGGGAGAGGCCGAGGGUACUCCCGGGGUAGGGGCGAAAUCCGAUAAUCCCGGGAGGACCACCAGUGGCGAAGGCGCUCGGCUGGAACGCGCCCGACGGUGAGGGGCGAAAGCCGGGGGAGCGAACCGGAUUAGAUACCCGGGUAGUCCCGGCUGUAAACGAUGCGGGCUAGGUGUUGGGCGGGCUUUGAGCCCGCCCAGUGCCGCAGGGAAGCCGUUAAGCCCGCCGCCUGGGGAGUACGGCCGCAAGGCUGAAACUUAAAGGAAUUGGCGGGGGAGCACCACAAGGGGUGGAGCCUGCGGCUUAAUUGGAGUCAACGCCGGGAAUCUUACCGGGGGCGACAGCAGGAUGACGGCCAGGCUAACGACCUUGCCCGACACGCUGAGAGGAGGUGCAUGGCCGUCGCCAGCUCGUGCCGUGAGGCGUCCGGUUAAGUCCGGCAACGAGCGAGAUCCCCACCCUCAGUUGCUAUCCCGGUCUUCGGACCGGGAGCACACUGAGGGGACUGCCGCCGAUAAGGCGGAGGAAGGAGGGGGCCACGGCAGGUCAGCAUGCCCCGAAACCCCGGGGCUGCACGCGGGCUACAAUGGCGGGGACAGCGGGUGCCGACCCCGAAAGGGGGAGGUAAUCCCUGAAACCCCGCCGUGGUUGGGAUCGAGGGCUGAAACUCGCCCUCGUGAACGUGGAAUCCCUAGUAACCGCGCGUCAACAUCGCGCGGUGAAUACGUCCCUGCUCCUU